rnacentral:tRNA from 1 species
GCAGUCGUGGCCGAGUGGUUAAGGCGUCUGACUUGAAAUCAGAUUCCCUCUGGGAGCGUAGGUUCGAGUCCUGCCGAUUGCG